AACGAGGGCGAGAGAAAAGGAUCAAAGUUAGUUUUCAGUCAAACUCAACAAGACAUCGCAUCUCGUGCCUACGUAUCUCAUCUGGACAUGAGAAUCAGAGUUGCCGUAGUUCGGCUAAACAAUUUCUAUUGGUUUUGUGUUUUUUAUGCGAACAACGUCACUACGCAAUCUACCGGAUGCUCGACCUUUGGAGACUUACUCACCUGCAGCAGAAGGAGUCAACGUGUCCUUAAGGGAAAAUAAUGUUUGUCUGUGUUUUAGGAAAGCUCAC
rnacentral:lncRNA from 1 species